rnacentral:lncRNA from 1 species
ACAUCCCAGUCUGCUGGUCAUGACCUUGUUGACACCAUGUAGAGAAAGCAAAGAGGGAGAAGCCUUCCGCCCAUAAUACCAGAACUAGAGCUAUCCUAUGGAGCUGGAUGUUGGGAGAUUUAGGACAGACAAAAGAAAGUACUUCUUUAACUCAUUCCCACAAGAUGUAAUGAGUGCCCCCAACAUUAAAAAAGGAUUAGAUCAAUUCCCGGAGGAUAAGGCUUUCAAGACGGUUUAGUUUGUCUCACCCUUGGCUUGCGCAGAGCAAUUCUCGUCCUGCAGUAAGUAUCCCUUGUUCCUUUACAGGGCAAACCCUACAACUCUCUGAGCCUUUUUUUGAAAAAGGGUCACGUAUUUGUUAUUGAACUCUAAAGAUCAUAUUUAUAAAAGGAGGAUAUGUGCCUAAAGUAAAUAAUAAGGCAUUCACUUAGAUGCAGUUGGAUUUAUAAUAUUAUAUUAAAUUGGAGUUAGGGUAUUUUCACAAAUCAGAUUUUGAACCAAAGCAGCAAACGUAAUGGACGAGGUUGUCAAAGAAGCAAAAGUUAACAGCAUGUAAUGGAAUAGAUGUACUAAAUUAGCAUUGACAUCUCUUAGUGGCUCUCUUAAAUAUACAUUAUUAUCUGGAGAAAAUGAAUCCUAUAUACUUGUCGUGAGCUUGUUGCACAUCCAUAUUUCAAGGGCACACUUUUAAGAAUUUUUUUUUUUACUCAUUGGAAAAAGGCACUGUUAGGCUGUAUUCAUUUAGCUUGAAUUUUCUGUUUUGGAUUAUUAUUUUAUUUUGUUUUUGUUUAAAGACACCCCCCCCGCUCCUUUUCCCCCAACAGAAAGCCUGAUACAAUACUGUACUGGGAAACAGUUUUAAGCCUCAGUUGGUUUCAGUAUCAGUUGAUGAAUGGGAUUUGUCAGAACAGUCAAAAUUCGCUGACAAAAACAAAAUAUUCAGUGAUGAGAACAAUGAAAUGUUCAAUAAAUACAUUGGGAAAAUGAAGGAUGGGCAAGAGCACCAGGGCAAAGAACAGAUUUUUGCACAGAGAGGCAAAUCAACAAUCCUCUUAAUUGGCACGGAGCCAGUAAAUUAAAUGGGUGCAUUUCCUUCCUAGCCCCUUGCUUGGAUGGUCGUAGCUAGGCUGCUGUUUUUCUGGGCAAGCAGGCUGUGUGUGUGUACAUGCACACACACAUAUUGGGGUGUGUCUCUUUUCUGCCCAUUGUGGAGGUGGGGAGCUAUUGGCUCCAUCCUCCUCGGCUCUUGGCUGAAUGUACGGAUGGCUUGUGGGUAGGUGGGGCAAAGCAAGUGUCUUUUUAGGUCAUUGCAUUAAGGUUUAGCAUGGUGGAGGCUUCAAAUGUUCAUCUGGCCAAUUUCAGUAUUUGGGGGCAGGGAAUCAACUUUGUUUUUCAGGAAAAGAGCCUAGGGAAUUCAACUCCAUACUCCUAUCCACCCUUGCCCCAUCACUGGUGGUCAGAUCAGUAGAGUCACUGCAAUAAAGUAAAUAUUCUUUAUAUCUCACAAGCUUCAAAGACCGUUUUCUCACCAUAUAAAACACACACACAGAGUGUUGUAGAGCAGAGGCUCUGUCUGCAAAGUGCAAGUCAACAACACAGCAACAUUCAUGGUCAUAUGAGUCUGGCGCCAGGGUCAGAAUGAUACCCUUCAGUAAAUGGACUGAUGAUAUGAUAUCACUGGCAAUUUAUGAACGGACUGCUUACAGACGCAGGCUCUGUAUGGAUAAAUACGAUAAUAUUUGGCAUGUACAAAAUGUAGUAAGCUAUUAACAUUUACAAAAGCUCUAGGACGAUAACACUAUACCAAUUGAUACAAGAAUGUAUGGGAAUAUCGUAUAUUGCUUUUUGGGGGUUAUAUUUUUGCUUUUAUAUGUAUCUCUGUUGUUGUUUUUCUGCCUCUCACUUUUCCUUCUUUUUCCCCUGUAUCAUUUUAUUUCUUUUAACUGAAGUCACCUUGAUAAAAUAUAAAUUAUUGUUUUUUAAUGAUUCUGGCGCCAAUGACCAUACCCAAAAGGUGUUUCCAGACUGUCACUAUUUUCCAGGGUGGGUGGGGAAAUUCAAUCACAUACCAGCAAGCUCAGAUUGUGAAAUUAUAGUUGAGUGAGAGCUCUUGUGCAAGUAAACCACCCUCAAAAGAUCAGACUUUUUUUCUUAGCAAGAAGGAAAGCCACACUAGAACCUGCUCUGUUUGGUAGUGGGCUUGCAUUUGGUGCCGCAUUUAAACUGAGAACAGGACGCAAGCUUUCCAGCAGGCAUGGAACAUGAUGUCAGGUGAUGGGCAGGUAGGCAGUCCUGCCCAUCUGUCAAAAGUGACCUAUGGAAGGGUGGCUACUUUGGGAUCCAGCCUACCAUAUCAAAGUGGUCCCCCACUUUUCCUGCCCUAUUUUGACUGGCAUUGGCUUGCCAGAGUUUCAGUCCAAAGUAUUUUCAAAUCCAACUAGGGAUCAAACCUGCGAUCUUCUGUUUCCAGAGCAUGUGCUCUCAUCUCUAUCUAUCUAUCAUCUAUCUAUCAUCUAUCUAUCUAUCUAUCUAUCUAUCUAUCUAUCUAUCUAUCUAUCAUCUGUCUAAUCUAUCUAUCAUCUAUCUAACCUAUCUAUCAUCUAUCUAUUUCUGUCUAUAUCUAUCUAUCAUCUAUCUCAGCAGUAACAUGAGGUCAAGUAUAUGGGUGUGUCUAUGGGAUUGGACCAGAACUUCUCAAUAACCAAGGCAAAACUUUGAAAUAUUUUUGAAAAGGAAACAGAAAAUAAGUUUUUUUUUUUUUAAUGGAACGCUUCACAAAUUUGCGUGUCAUCCUUGUGCAGGGGCCAUGCUAAUCCUCUCUGUAUUGUUCCAAUUUUAGUAUAUGUGCUGCCGAAGCGAGCACGAAACAGAAAAUAAGUUCAGGCAUAGAGAAGAUGAUAGGCAAACCAAAGUCAUAUGAAAAAAUGAAAGAAUUGUCCAGUAGCACCUUAGAGAUCAACUAAGUUUGUUCUGGGUAUAAGCUUUCAUGUGCAUGCACACUUCUUCAGAUGCACAUGAAAGCUUAUACCCAGAACAAAUUUAGUUGGUCUCUAAGGUGCUACUGGACUAUUUUUUAAUUUAUUUCAACUGCGUCAGACCAACACGGCUACCUACCUGAAUUCAAUGUCAAAUGAGUUUAGCUAUGCAUUGAUUUAGUGUUAGAGAUGUAAAAUGUAAAAUACAGACCAGGUACUCCCAAGCUUGAAAGGCUUGGUAGUUAGGAGGUGAUCCUUGCAACUUGGAGGGCCUAGACCAAAAUGAGUCUUAAUGCACAUAUAGUCAUGGAGAGUUUGAGGAAGUUAGAGGAAUGGCAGGGACUUUGUGGCUCAAAUGAUGAUGAAAGACCCAGUCAGCUGGGACAAGCUAGCAACAUUUUCCUAUGCACAACCCCAUGUGUGCCAGAACCUCCAGAGGGAGACAUCUGGCAAAUCUGUUUUUGUUUUCAUGUUGCGUCUCAGAAUAUCUGCAAGCUGACUCUGAUCAAUGAAAUUGUGGAAUCUUUACUUCUAAUGAUUGCUAACGGAAAGCUACAGAAGAACAUCAGGAUCAGUUUUGCGUUCGUUGCUUUAUUUUGAAAAUGCAAACCAUCAACUGUUGAGAAGAAAAUUGGCUGUUUCCUUGCAAUUAACGCUCAAUUAUCCAGCAAUAAGAUUUUUUGAUAGUAAUUUAGAGCCUUGAUAGCCAAGGAUUAAAUCUCUAAAUUACCCCGAUGAAAUGUCUAGCUUUUAAUUUUUAAUUGUAGAUGGUACGAAAAGGGGGGAAAGCCACACGAAUGCAGACAAUUUCAAGAGGAGACCUGUCGUUUUAAAUAACUCCAUUGACUCCUGGGAGCUGAGGCUGUUGUCAAAACAUAAUAACUUGGGGGUUGGGGAGAGAAAAGUCAGGCAAUGCAUAUUUAUAAACAGGGAAAUCAUUUUCAGCUGAAGGCUGGUCUCUAGAGAUCACCACACUUUCACUGCAAAACAACUCUUGCUCAAAUCCGAUAUGACCUCAGAGCUCUCUGCUGUCCUAGCAUUGUACCCUUAUCUGUUAAGAUGCUAAUUUCUUCCCCUUUGACCGCAGGAACUGAUUCCGAAGACACUAAAGCAAGGCAAAGUGAUUAAGCAUAUAAUUAUUGGACAACUGACAUCAUCCAGUGGCAGAGUUCAUAUUUACCUGAGCUUUUUCCAGUUGUCUUUCCUAUUAUUAAUGGAUUCAAAAAGCUCUUUUGUAUCAUGAAUGACCUGACUUGGGUGAUCCACACAGGCAGUGCUUCACAUGCUCACUCCUCCAAGAAGCAAAGAGAAGAAGAAAAUGCCAAAUUUUGGUGCUAAUAGAUCCUUUUUCUUUUUGAGGGAGGGGGCAUGCUUGAUUAUUAUUUGAUGAUACAUGCUAGCAC